rnacentral:rRNA from 1 species
GUAAUGUACAUGUAGAGGUGUUCAGUCGCGAGCGGUAAAGGAAGAAGCUUGCUUCUUUGCUGACGAGUGGCGGACGGGUGAGUAAUGUCUGGGAAACUGCCUGAUGGAGGGGGAUAACUACUGGAAACGGUAGCUAAUACCGCAUAACGUCGCAAGACCAAAGAGGGGGACCUUCGGGCCUCUUGCCAUCGGAUGUGCCCAGAUGGGAUUAGCUUGUUGGUGGGGUAACGGCUCACCAAGGCGACGAUCCCUAGCUGGUCUGAGAGGAUGACCAGCCACACUGGAACUGAGACACGGUCCAGACUCCUACGGGAGGCAGCAGUGGGGAAUAUUGCACAAUGGGCGCAAGCCUGAUGCAGCCAUGCCGCGUGUAUGAAGAAGGCCUUCGGGUUGUAAAGUACUUUCAGCGGGGAGGAAGGGAGUAAAGUUAAUACCUUUGCUCAUUGACGUUACCCGCAGAAGAAGCACCGGCUAACUCCGUGCCAGCAGCCGCGGUAAUACGGAGGGUGCAAGCGUUAAUCGGAAUUACUGGGCGUAAAGCGCACGCAGGCGGUUUGUUAAGUCAGAUGUGAAAUCCCCGGGCUCAACCUGGGAACUGCAUCUGAUACUGGCAAGCUUGAGUCUCGUAGAGGGGGGUAGAAUUCCAGGUGUAGCGGUGAAAUGCGUAGAGAUCUGGAGGAAUACCGGUGGCGAAGGCGGCCCCCUGGACGAAGACUGACGCUCAGGUGCGAAAGCGUGGGGAGCAAACAAGGAUUAGAUACCCUGGUAGUCCACGCCGUAAACGAUGUCGACUUGGAGGUUGUGCCCUUGAGGCGUGGCUUCCGGAGCUAACGCGUUAAGUCGACCGCCUGGGGAGUACGGCCGCAAGGUUAAAACUCAAAUGAAUUGACGGGGGCCCGCACAAGCGGUGGAGCAUGUGGUUUAAUUCGAUGCAACGCGAAGAACCUUACCUGGUCUUGACAUCCACAGAACUUUUCAGAGAUGGAUUGGUGCCUUCGGGAACUGUGAGACAGGUGCUGCAUGGCUGUCGUCAGCUCGUGUUGUGAAAUGUUGGGUUAAGUCCCGCAACGAGCGCAACCCUUAUCCUUUGUUGCCAGCGGUCCGGCCGGGAACUCAAAGGAGACUGCCAGUGAUAAACUGGAGGAAGGUGGGGAUGACGUCAAGUCAUCAUGGCCCUUACGACCAGGGCUACACACGUGCUACAAUGGCGCAUACAAAGAGAAGCGACCUCGCGAGAGCAAGCGGACCUCAUAAAGUGCGUCGUAGUCCGGAUUGGAGUCUGCAACUCGACUCCAUGAAGUCGGAAUCGCUAGUAAUCGUGGAUCAGAAUGCCACGGUGAAUACGUUCCCGGGCCUUGUACACACCGCCCGUCACACCAUGGGAGUGGGUUGCAAAAGAAGUUCUUAGCUCACCUCUUCCUGACAAAAGUUAAACGCCCAGUUAGAGC